UACGUAGGGUGCAAGCGUUGUUCGGAAUUACUGGGCGUAAAGAGUGUGUAGGCGGUGCUCUAAGUUCGGUGUGAAAUCUCCCGGCUUAACUGGGAGGGUGCGCCGGAAACUGGAGUGCUCGAGCGUGGGAGAGGAAAGCGGAAUUCCUGGUGUAGCGGUGAAAUGCGUAGAUAUCGGGAAGAAUACCUGUGGCGAAGGCGGCCAGCUGGGCCAGGUCCGACAUUGAGGCGCGAAAGCGUGGGGAGCAAACAGG
rnacentral:rRNA from 1 species